AGAUAAACGCCCAUAUGAGUCAAACAUUACCAGACUGUAGUCAAGAAAGUAUUGUCAAUCCCUGAUUGAAGUGUAGCUGCAGUUGCGUAGACAGAACGAUCUACAAUCAGAAAGUGAUUCAAAAGACUCUCAGCUAAGUGCUACAUAAUGAGCAACUCGUACUCCUCAACCAAACGAUAAUGAAAGAGAGGCACCUGACUCAAGCAAUGGAUGUCGGAGCAGAAGACUAGAAGGCAAAGCAAGUACAUGCUACCUGUCUGGGCAAGACCUUUCAGUGCCUUUCCAUAUUUCAAUGGGUAGUCAUCUGCACACCUUCCAGUCUUUUCUUCUGUAUUGCAAAGGCUAGAAGCCUUGGUACUAUAUUUAUCAAACUUACUUUUUUUUUUUUUAACAAAUCUUCAAUGUGAUUCUCAUUUUGCUAAGAUACAUUUGUAUGAAAUUUUGAGAUAGAAAAGUAUGAAUAAGAAAGCAUUGCCUUCUUUCUCAGUGGCAGCACACAAACAUAUGGACUUCACAGACACGACAUUUUGCAGCAACUUCUAGAUCUUCCCCCUGUGAGUGCCCUGGGACAUCAUUACAAUAAAUAAACCAUUCAGGAAGUCAAAGGAUGGUAGUUUUCACAGAAGCAUUGCAAGCAUUGAGAAGAAAAAUAAUCCAUAUCUAGUAGGUUUAUUUUUAUGAGGAUAAAUCUCUGGCCUCUCCAUAUGGAAAAGGAUCUCCUGUAAGUUAAUCCUGCCAUCAGGUUGCUGGCUGGUUUGCCUGGGAUAUAAAGCCCUAUUAGUGAGCCAGUGGUGACCUUUGCUGCUGUCUGGUUAGAUGCGCAGCAGCACUGCAGUCACCCUUUCUGAGGGAAAGUUCACGUUUUGAAGCCUAGGUAGAAAUUCUCUCUGUACCACCAUGGUUUCACUGAAUGUGAGUCAAUUGAGGCAUCACCAGGGUGGCAAAAAGUUAUCAAGUCAAGCCCAGUCAACUCAGAAAAUUCAUCUCAGAAUUCCAUUUUACGUCAAUUUCCUGGCAUAAUGUUGAAACACUCUGCCCUUUAGUAUCUGGAACAAUGUCUAACACAAUAAUGCUUAACGCCGGGGAAAUGAGGGCAUAGGUCUGAAUCUCCGGAGAUUCCUUUUAUGGGGAAUAUCUUUUAACACCCCUUAGGAAACAACAUCAACUCACUAAAGACAGUACCAAUAAGGUCUCCUGCCUUCCCCAGGAAUAAAGAUUUAAAUCACACCAGCUCAAUGCUGGUUGAGGGCAAGGGAACAAUGAAUGGCUUGUGGAAGGGGAAAGUUAAAAAUGCAAAUUACAACUUUGUGCCCCAUUUAAGGAAAGAGAACUUGAAUAGCUAUGCAUAUUUGUGUUUUCUUCCUUGCUUUGUUAUGUACAUAUUUGUAUAUAUCAGCCACUAACUUCUUAUCUUUCCUUCAUUCUUCACUUACUAAUUUACAUAAGGUACUGGUAGUUCAUAUAAAUUCAUUUUUAGAGACUAAAUAUAAAAGCAGAAUUGCAACUGAACUUAAGCAAGAAUCAUUAUCACCCAGGGCUAGAUUUGGUGACUAAUAGAAGUUUGGAUCUCUAUUUUUAGAGGAGGGAUUGAGAAAAUUUUUGUAUGGGGAAUAAUUCUAUUCUAUUAGCAAGAAUCGUGUUGUUUUUUGCCAUUGCUGCUAAUUAAAAUUUUAAAUAUUGUCAAAAGUGGUAUAUAUUAUGCUCGAUUUUUUCCUUUUGGCACCCAGUAUAUGUUC
rnacentral:lncRNA from 1 species